CCCUGCCAUUUGUACACACCGCCCGUCGCACCUACCGAUUGAAUGGUCCGGUGAAAUCUUGGGAGUCCCAGUGAUGUCUGCUUGCGGACUCGCAGGGGUGAACUUGAUUAAACCUUACCAUUUAGAGGAAGGUG
rnacentral:rRNA from 1 species